GACGAACGCUGGCGGCGUGCUUAACACAUGCAAGUCGAACGGUGGACGAGGAGCUUGCUCCUCUGAUCAGUGGCGAACGGGUGAGUAACACGUGAGCAACCUGCCCCAGACUCUGGGAUAACAGUUGGAAACAGCUGCUAAUACCGGAUACGAGACGGAGAGGCAUCUCUACCGUCUGGAAAGUUUUUCGGUCUGGGAUGGACUCGCGGCCUAUCAGCUAGUUGGUGAGGUAAUGGCUCACCCAAGGCGACGACGGGUAGCCGGCCUGAGAGGGCGACCGGCCACACUGGGACUGAGACACGGCCCAGACUCCUACGGGAGGCAGCAGUGGGGAAUAUUGCACAAUGGGCGAAAGCCUGAUGCAGCGACGCCGCGUGAGGGAUGACGGCCUUCGGGUUGUAAACCUCUUUCAGCAGGGAAGAAGCGAAAGUGACGGUACCUGCAGAAGAAGCACCGGCUAACUACGUG
rnacentral:rRNA from 1 species